rnacentral:rRNA from 1 species
GAUGAACGCUAGCGGCAGGCUUAAUACAUGCAAGUCGUGGGGCAGCGCAGGUAGCAAUACUGGGCGGCGACCGGCAAACGGGUGCGGAACACGUACACAACCUUCCUACAAGUGGGGAAUAGCCCAGAGAAAUUUGGAUUAAUACCCCGUAACAUAUAGAUGCGGCAUCGUAUUUAUAUUAUAGCUUCGGCGCUUGUUGGUGGGUGUGCGGCUGAUUAGAUAGUUGGCGGGGUAACGGCCCACCAAGUCUACGAUCAGUAGCUGAUGUGAGAGCAUGAUCAGCCACACGGGCACUGAGACACGGGCCCGACUCCUACGGGAGGCAGCAGUAAGGAAUAUUGGUCAAUGGACGCAAGUCUGAACCAGCCAUGCCGCGUGAAGGAUUAAGGUCCUCUGGAUUGUAAACUUCUUUUAUCUGGGACGAAAAAAGGCGAUUCUUCGUCACUUGACGGUACCAGAUGAAUAAGCACCGGCUAACUCCGUGCCAGCAGCCGCGGUAAUACGGAGGGUGCAAGCGUUAUCCGGAUUCACUGGGUUUAAAGGGUGCGUAGGCGGGCAGGUAAGUCAGUGGUGAAAUCCUUGAGCUUAACUCGAGAACUGCCAUUGAUACUAUCUGUCUUGAAUAUUGUGGAGGUAAGCGGAAUAUGUCAUGUAGCGGUGAAAUGCUUAGAUAUGACAUAGAACACCUAUUGCGAAGGCAGCUUACUACGCAUAUAUUGACGCUGAGGCACGAAAGCGUGGGGAUCAAACAGGAUUAGAUACCCUGGUAGUCCACGCCCUAAACGAUGAUUACUCGACAUUUGUGAUACACUAUAAGUGUCUGAGCG